rnacentral:rRNA from 1 species
GACGUAGGGCGCGAGCGUUGUCCGGAUUUAUUGGGCGUAAAGAGCUCGUAGGCGGCUUGUCGCGUCGUCCGUGAAAACCCACAGCUCAACUGUGGGCUUGCGGUCGAUACGGGCAGGCUAGAGUACGGAAGAGGUAGCUGGAAUUCCCGGUGUAGAGGUGAAAUUCGUAGAUAUUCGGAGGAACACCAGAAGCGAAGGCGGCUCACUGGCCCGAUACUGACGCUGAGGCGCGAAAGCGUGGGGAGCAAACAGG